GCUUGUCUCAAAGAUUAAGCCAUGCAUGUCUAAGUGUAAAUACGUCUACACUGUGAAACUGCGAAUGGCUCAUUAAAUCAGUUAUCGUUUAUUUGAUGAUCUCUUGUUACAUGGAUAACCGUGGUAAUUCUAGAGCUAAUACAUGCUGUAAAGCCCGACUUUUCGGAAGGGCCGUAUUUAUUAGAUAACAGACCAAUAUUCCUCGUGUCUAUUGUGGUGAAUCAUAGUAACUAAUCGGAUCGCAUGGGCUAGUCCCGCGACAAACCAUUCAAGUUUCUGCCCCAUCAGCUUUCGAUGGUAGUGUAUUGGACUACCAUGGCUUUUACGGGUAACGGAGGAUUAGGGUUCGAUUCCGGAGAGGGAGCCUGAGAAACGGCUACCACAUCCAAGGAAGG
rnacentral:rRNA from 1 species